UACGGAGGGUGCAAGCGUUAUCCGGAUUCACUGGGUUAAAGGGAGCGCAGGCGGAUUUGUAAGUCAGUGGUGAAAGCCCAUCGCUCAACGGUGGAACGGCCAUUGAUACUGUUAAACUUGAAUUAUUAGGAAGUAACUAGAAUAUGUAGUGUAGCGGUGAAAUGCUUAGAGAUUACAUGGAAUACCAAUUGCGAAGGCAGGUUACUACUAAUGGAUUGACGCUGAUGGACGAAAGCGUGGGUAGCGAACAGG
rnacentral:rRNA from 1 species